rnacentral:rRNA from 1 species
GAUGAACGCUAGCGGCAGGCUUAACACAUGCAAGUCGAGGGGUAUUGGUUUUCGGACCAAGAGACCGGCGCACGGGUGCGUAACGCGUAUGCAAUCUACCUUUUGCAGAGGGAUAGCCCCAGAGAAAUUUGGAUUAAUACCUCAUAGUAUAGUACUUUGGCAUCAAGGAACUAUUAAAGUCACAACGGCAAAGAUGAGCAUGCGUCCCAUUAGCUAGUUGGUAAGGUAACGGCUUACCAAGGCUACGAUGGGUAGGGGUCCUGAGAGGGAGAUCCCCCACACUGGUACUGAGACACGGACCAGACUCCUACGGGAGGCAGCAGUGAGGAAUAUUGGACAAUGGGCGCAAGCCUGAUCCAGCCAUGCCGCGUGCAGGAUGACGGUCCUAUGGAUUGUAAACUGCUUUGUACAGGAAGAAACCCUUUCACGUGUGGAAGAUUGACGGUACUGUAAGAAUAAGGAUCGGCUAACUCCGGUGCCAGCAGCCGCGGUAA